rnacentral:tRNA from 1 species
AUUUAUAUAGUUUAAUAAAAAAAACUUUAUAUUUUCAAUAUAAAAAUAGAAUUUUUCUUAUAAAUU